rnacentral:lncRNA from 1 species
UAAUAUAAAAAAGAAGAUGUGGUAUGAUUGCCAAUGAGACAACUAUCCACAAAAGACCAAAAUGACACAGACAUUAACAACUAUAGGUCACCGUACGGCCUUCAACAAUGAGCAAAGCCCAUACCGCAUAGUCAGCUAUAAAAGGCCCCGAUAAGACAAUGUAAAGCAAUUCAAACGAGAAAACUAACAGCCUUAUUUAUGUAAAAAAAUGAACG